AGCAUGCCGCGGUGAAUACGUUCCCGGGCCUUGUACACACCGCCCGUCACACCAUGGGAGUUUGUAACGCCCAAAGUCGGUGGCCUAACCUUUAUGGAGGGAGCCGCCUAAGGCGGGACAGAUGACUGGGGUGAAGUCGUAACAAGGUAAC
rnacentral:rRNA from 1 species